rfam:Psychroflexus salarius strain DSM 25661 genome assembly, contig: Ga0131153_104
AUUAAUAACUGAGGUCGAGAACCUUAAAAUUUAAU